AGACGAAGGGGGCUAGCGUUGUUCGGAAUUACUGGGCGUAAAGCGCGUGUAGGCGGUUGCCAAAGUCGGGUGUGAAAGCCUUGAGCUCAACUCAAGAAUUGCACUCGAUACUUGGUGACUAGAGGACCGGAGAGGAUAGUGGAAUUCCCAGUGUAGUGGUGAAAUACGUAGAGAUUGGGAAGAACACCAGUGGCGAAGGCGGCUAUCUGGACGGUUUCUGACGCUAAGACGCGAAAGCGUGGGGAGCAAACAGGAUUAGAUACCCUGGUAGUCCACGCCGUAAACGAUGGGUGCUAGACGUUGGCGAGCUUGCUCGUCAGUGUCGCAGCUAACGCGUUAAGCACCCCGCCUGGGGAGUACGGCCGCAAGGUUGAA
rnacentral:rRNA from 1 species